GAAUCUUGCGCAAUGGGCGGAAGCCUGACGCAGCGACGCCGCGUGCGGGAAGAAGGCCUUCGGGUUGUAAACCGCUUUCAGGAGGGACGAAGCCACUCGGGUGAACAGCCCAGAGGGUGACGGUACCUCCAGAAGAAGCCCCGGCUAACUACGUGCCAGCAGCCGCGGUAAUACGUAGGGGGCUAGCGUUGUCCGGAUUUAUUGGGCGUAAAGAGCGUGUAGGCGGCCAGAUAGGUCUGCUGUGAAAACUCGAGGCUCAACCUCGAGCCGUCGGCGGAAACCAUCUGGCUAGAGACCGGAAGAGGAGAGUGGAAUUCCCGGUGUAGCGGUGAAAUGCGCAGAUAUCGGGAAGAACACCUGUGGCGAAGGCGGCUCUCUGGGACGGUACUGACGCUGAGACGCGAAAGCGUGGGGAGCAAAC
rnacentral:rRNA from 1 species